UACAGAGGUCUCAAGCGUUGUUCGGAUUCAUUGGGCGUAAAGAGCGUGUAGGCGGCUAGGUAGGUCCGUUGUGAAAACUCGAGGCUCAACCUCGAGACGUCGAUGGAAACCAUCUAGCUAGAGUCCGGAAGAGGAGAGUGGAAUUCCUGGUGUAGCGGUGAAAUGCGCAGAUAUCAGGAAGAACCCCCGUGGCGAAGGCGGCUCCCUGGGACGUGACUGGCGCUGAGAAGCCAAAGCGUGGGGAGCGAACAGG
rnacentral:rRNA from 1 species